rnacentral:rRNA from 1 species
GACGAACGCUGGCGGCGUGCUUAACACAUGCAAGUCGAACGGAAAGGCCCUGCUUUUGUGGGGUGCUCGAGUGGCGAACGGGUGAGUAACACGUGAGUAACCUGCCCUUGACUUUGGGAUAACUUCAGGAAACUGGGGCUAAUACCGGAUAGGAGCUCCUGCUGCAUGGUGGGGGUUGGAAAGUUUCGGCGGUUGGGGAUGGACUCGCGGCUUAUCAGCUUGUUGGUGGGGUAGUGGCUUACCAAGGCUUUGACGGGUAGCCGGCCUGAGAGGGUGACCGGCCACAUUGGGACUGAGAUACGGCCCAGACUCCUACGGGAGGCAGCAGUGGGGAAUAUUGCACAAUGGGCGGAAGCCUGAUGCAGCAACGCCGCGUGCGGGAUGACGGCCUUCGGGUUGUAAACCGCUUUCGCCUGUGACGAAGCGUGAGUGAUGGUAAUGGGUAAAGAAGCACCGGCUAACUACGUG